CGGUGGCGAUGCGCUUAGGGGAAACACCCGUACCCAUCCCGAACACGAUGGUUAAGACCUAAGCGGCCGAUGGUACUAUGCUGGAGACGGCAUGGGAGAGCAGGUGGCUGCCGGAUU
rnacentral:rRNA from 15 species